rnacentral:tRNA from 1 species
GCCACCAUGGCUCAGCUGGUAGAGCAGCGCAUUCGUAAUGCGCGGGUCAAGGGUUCGAGUCCCUUUGGUGGCUCCA